CAAGAUCAGGGCGGGGCUGAGCUCUGCCAGCCAGGCUCAGCCUCAGUCCUGUCUACCCUACCCAGGAGAAACCCCGCCCCCAGCCCCCACCUCAAGGAGCUGCACCGUUGCCCCGGGUCAGUCCAUUGCCUGUGUGGUGGCAGCUUCCCAGGAAGGAAGAAGCGUUGUCUGCAGAUCGCCUAUCGGUCGGCUUUCCUGUGUCGGAGCGGUGGUUUUCCGGGGAUGGCUGCCACCCCCGUGAUUCCCAGCUGCCUGGAAACUUGGACCCUGCUCCCACAGAGAUCUAGUGCUUUCCAUAACAUGAUGCGCAGCUGUUACCUCUUCUCUACUCUGAACUGCCUGGCUUCCAGAUGUGCAGACCAAAGCGAGAGAUUUGACAUGGACUCGUCCUAGACCAGUGGUUCUCAGCUGUUCUUAUGAGCAAUCCUUUAACACAGUCCCUCCUGUUGUAGUAACCCUCAACCAUAAAAUAAUUCCCAUCGCUACUUCAUAGUUGUAAUUUUGCUAUUGUCAUGGAAAUUUUCGGAGAUAGAGGGUUGCCAAAGGGGUCGUGACCCACAGGCUGAGAAUCAGUUCCCUAGGCAAGGGUGAGCAUGGGAAAUGGGAAAGAACAUAGGUUGUGUUGUUUAAAUCAUCCAAUCCUUUCUGUGUCUCCAAAACUUAUAGGUUGAGUCAGCCUUACCCCUACGCUGCAUAAAUGCCGAAAUAUCUCUGGGGAAAUGAAUGCGUGACUUGGCAUUCCCAGUAAACAAGUCAGGAAAGGUGGGGUGGUUCAAAAGAAACAGUUAAGUUGCUGUUUCUCUAGACAUCAUUUGCGUAAGAAAUACUUGUCUUUGCUUAAAACAAGCAAGCAGAGCCUCCUCGUUUCAACAGAGUUUUCUUUUGCUUGCAUGUUCCUUUCCUUAUUAAUUUAUGAUUUCAGUUUUCACUUACUCAAUAAAGACUGUAUAUGGCAGACAGGAGAAGUGACGUUGGGGAUGCAAUAACAAAAGGAUAACUUUCUGUCCUGCAGGCAGUUUAGAAACCAGGGGCUAUAAACAAAUAAAGAGGAACAUAGUGAAA
rnacentral:lncRNA from 1 species